rnacentral:rRNA from 1 species
GUUCCUGGCUCAGGAUGAACGCUAGCGACAGGCUUAACACAUGCAAGUCGAGGGGCAGCACAGGUAGCAAUACCGGGUGGCGACCGGCGCACGGGUGAGUAACGCGUAUGCAACUUACCUAUCAGAGGGGGAUAACCCGGCGAAAGUCGGACUAAUACCGCAUGAAGCAGGGGCCCCGCAUGGGGAUAUUUGCUAAAGAUUUAUCGCUGAUAGAUAGGCAUGCGUUCCAUUAGGCAGUUGGG